AACAACAAGAACGACAGUGGCGACAUCUAGUAAUGAGUUUUGAAUCUUAUGUCAGUUGCACAAUCACAGUCGCACAUACGUGACAUUACACGUCGUAACUUUCAUUACUUCAAAACAAAUUUAAAGGUUAAACAACGGAGAUCGGACAAUGAUUUAAGUGUUUUAAAUAAUUUCAGCUGAAGUUUUUGUGUACCUGGCCAACUAGGUGCUCGUGACAGUAGAAAUAAAAUGGUCUAAUCCCAAAGUGCUAGCUCGCAAUCUAUGUCUUCUGAAGCUAAAUAAUUUCUGCUUCAAGGUAUUUGAUCAUAUCAUGUUACAAAAAUUUAAUCAACUGUGUUCUUUAAGGUUUAAAAUGUUCACAUUAACUUUUCCCUGUCAAGUUUUGGUAAAUUUUCAAGAUAUUGAUGCCUUCGCCAGAUCCAAUUUUUACUCAGCUCACAUGUGUCCAGAUUACUCACGAGUCUCCAAAUCUCCAAUUUGAUGAUGGGUUUCGAAUCGCAGAAUGGGGACGAAGCAGGGAGACUCGUUUUAUUCACCAUGUCGAUAUAGCCGGCACAUCGCAGAGGAUUGAGACAUUUGGCGACUAAAUUCCAUAGAACAUUAAUUCUUUGUUUAUUAAAAAUUUCCGAGUAGACGUACGAAAAUAAUAUGGAUCGUAGUUCGUAAGUUUAUAACGGAUUCGUUUGAAACAAUAACGUAACAGAACGAAAAGCUGGUUUCAAAAUCAAACAGGAUUACUUUCCUCAUGACGAUCAGGAUCAUCCAUCCUACAAGUAAUGUAAUGAAGUAAAUUAAAAAUUUAUUUAAUAGUUAAAAGGAAAAAAAUAGCAAACCUGAAAAUGAAUAAGUCGUUCAUAUUAUUCAAUUGUUGGUUAUCCACUCCAAGUGGCGUGAGAAAAACAAAUUGACGGCCUGAUUUCUCACUUGCUUCAGUAACUAAUAACUCCAUGCAGAGCGACCGAUUAACGUGGUCCUACGCAAAGAAUAGGAUUCUGAAUGGGCUUUCGGUGGCCUCCCACAAGGACAAAAUGAAGCAAAUCGUCGUGAAAGACCGUUCCCCACCGCUUAAGGAUCGAAUGUCGGUUGCACCACUUUCACGACCGCGUUUAGCCGGUUGAGAGGAUUCAUCACGACCAGGUGGAACAACUAUCAUUGAAAGGGUUGAGAAAACAGAUUAGCUUACACUAUAGUGACGAGUUCUCAAAAGGGCCCGAAAUAUUUUGAAUGUUCUUGAUUCGAUGCAAUCGCGAAAUACGCUAAUGAAAUCUUUACGCUUCUUGCUCAUGUCCAUCAUUUUCUAU
rnacentral:lncRNA from 1 species